UACGUAGGGUGCAAGCGUUGUCCGGAAUUAUUGGGCGUAAAGAGCUUGUAGGCGGUUUGUCGCGUCUGCUGUGAAAACUGGAGGCUCAACCUCCAGCCUGCAGUGGGUACGGGCAGACUAGAGUGCGGUAGGGGGAGAUUGGAAUUCCUGGUGUAGCGGUGGAAUGCGCAGAUAUCAGGAGGAACACCGAUGGCGAAGGCAGAUCUCUGGGCCGUAACGGACGCUGAGGAGCGAAAGCAUGGGGAGCGAACAGG
rnacentral:rRNA from 1 species